rnacentral:snRNA from 1 species
GUGCUCAUUUUGGCAGCACACAUACUAAAAUUGGAACAGAUCGGAGAAGAUUAGUAUGGCCACUGUGCAAGGACAACAUGCAAAUUCUUGGAGUGUUUCAUAUUUUA